CUCACUCUCUCUAUUGUUGUUGUUCUCUGACUCUCUCUCACUCUCUCUAUCAUUGUUGUUCUCUGACUCUCUCUCACUCUCUCUAUUGUUGUUGUUCUCUAUCUCCUCUUCCUCUCUCUCUCUCUCACACACCAAGGUAUGUUUUUGUUGUUGUUCUCUCUCGAUCUCUCUCAUUCUCUCUAUCAUUGAUGUUCUCUGUCUUGCACUCUCACUCACUCUAUCGUUGUUGUUCUCUGUCUCGCUCACUCUCUCUAUUGUUGUUGUUCUCUAUCUCUCUCUCUCUCACUCUCUCUAUCGUUGUUGUCCUCUGUCUCUCUCUCUCGCUCUCUCCCUCUGAAAUCUCUCUCGAUUUCUCUCACACUAAGGUAUGUUGUUGUUGUUCUCUCUCUCUCUCUCUCUCUCUCUCUCUCUCUCUCUCUCUCUCUCUCUCUCACUAAGGUAUGUUGUCGUUGUUCUCUCUCUCUCUCUCUCUCUCUCUCUCUUUCACACACACUAAGGUAUGUUGUCGUUGUUCUCUCUCUCUCUCUCUCUC
ensembl:lncRNA